CAGCCGCCACGGGAAUACAGAGGGUGCGAGCGUUAAUCGGAUUUACUGGGCGUAAAGCGUGCGUAGGCGGCUUCUUAAGUCGGAUGUGAAAUCCCUGAGCUUAACUUAGGAAUUGCAUUCGAUACUGGGAAGCUAGAGUAUGGGAGAGGAUGGUAGAAUUCCAGGUGUAGCGGUGAAAUGCGUAGAGAUCUUGAGGAAUACCGAUGGCGAAGGCAGCCAUCUGGCCUAAUACUGACGCUGAGGUACGAAAGCAUGGGGAGCAAACAGGAUUAGAUACCCCCGUAGUCCCUGUCUCUUAUAC
rnacentral:rRNA from 1 species